rnacentral:rRNA from 1 species
GAUGAACGCUGGCGGCGUGCCUAAUACAUGCAAGUCGAGCGAAUGGAUUAAGAGCUUGCUCUUAUGAAGUUAGCGGCGGACGGGUGAGUAACACGUGGGUAACCUGCCCAUAAGACUGGGAUAACUCCGGGAAACCGGGGCUAAUACCGGAUAACAUUUUGAACCGCAUGGUUCGAAAUUGAAAGGCGGCUUCGGCUGUCACUUAUGGAUGGACCCGCGUCGCAUUAGCUAGUUGGUGAGGUAACGGCUCACCAAGGCAACGAUGCGUAGCCGGCCUGAGAGGGUGAUCGGCCACACUGGGACUGAGACACGGACCAGACUCCUACGGGAGGCAGCAGUAGGGAAUCUUCCGCAAUGGACGAAAGUCUGACGGAGCAACGCCGCGUGAGUGAUGAAGGCUUUCGGGUCGUAAAACUCUGUUGUUAGGGAAGAGCAAGUGCUAGUUGAAUAAGCUGGCACCUUGACGGUACCUAACCAGAAAGCCACGGCUAACUACGUGCCAGCAGCCGCCGUAA